GGAGGAGAACAGGAAAUCCCCUGUGAGGAGUUAAUGAGGAGCCGACGACCGAGCAGACACAACAGAGAGGGAGGGUAAGAGGGAGGAGAGGGGGGAAACGAUGCCCUGACAUCUGACCCUCUGACUGUGACCUUGUUCAUUGUCUGAGAGGUCAGGGAGUGGACACACCUGAGCGAUGGCCACGUGCAUACACACACAGACACACACACACACACACACACACACACACACACACUGAAACACACAUUGAUAAGGUCUUAUGGCAAACCAAACAGGCAACUACUCAAAACCCCAAUCCACACCAAAACCCUAAUUAAAUAUAUAAAAGCGACAUAAUUAGUUAACAAUUAUAACAGCAUGACACCAAAGUCAGACGUAGCCGUUGGCUCUGUUUUCCUCCAUUUAAGACCCUUUUAAAAACAGCAACUUGUCAAAGGACGGCCGGCUGAGCUAACUGAAUGAAACCCCCAUUCAGUGUUACCUUGAACUUGAACAAUGAGUCUGGUGUUUGUGCUGGGGCCACUUCCUGACCUUUCCAUCCCUCUGUGGAAGCAACCAACCGCAGCCUCUCCUUUCAUCUUACAGAUGUGACCCUGACGACUCAGACUGACCAGAGAACAGCCGGCAGCUUUACUUCGACCAGUGACUCCUGAAUCUUUGACCUGGGAAGUUUGUUGCGAUGAUAUUUUAUACACUGACAGCUAAUAUUUAUGUACUUUCACUUCAAC